rnacentral:rRNA from 1 species
AGGGUUCGAUCAUGGCUCAGGACGAACGCUGGCGGUGCGCCUUAUGCAUGCAAGUCGAGCGAAGCUUUUCAGUAGUUUACUACAGAAAAUGACUGAGCGGCGAACGGGUGAGUAACGCGUGAGCAAUCUACCUUAGUUACAGGGAUAGCCCGAGGAAACUCGGAUUAAUACCUGAUAUUCUUUAUUUCUCGCAUGAGAAUAAAAGGAAAGGUCAGCCGAACUAAGAUGAGCUCGCGUUCUAUCAGCUAGUUGGUGAGGUAAAAGCUUACCAAGGCUACGACGGAUAGCUGGUCUGAGAGGACGAUCAGCCACACUGGGACUGAGACACGGCCCAGACUCCUACGGGAGGCUGCAGCAGGGAAUAUUGUGCAAUGAACGAAAGUUUGACACAGCGACACCGCGUGUGGGAUGACGGAUCUAGGUUUGUAAACCACUUUCAGGAGGGAAGAAAAUGACGGUACCUCCACAAGAAGCCCCGGCCAACUACGUGCCAGCCGCCGCGGUAAUUC